rnacentral:ncRNA from 1 species
CACCACAGGGGAAGCACGGAUCUGAGCCCGCCUCACCGACGCCGAUUGGCGCACGGAGACAUACGGUUGCCUAGCGGGCGCAGGGAGCAAGUGGCGAGACCGAACCCGUCCCAA